AUCCAGCUGACCAGUCUCAAAUAGGACGGAAAGCGUGUCCUGGAU
rfam:Schistosoma mansoni strain Puerto Rico chromosome 6, complete genome